rnacentral:misc_RNA from 1 species
UCGAUCAAUUGUUUUGCUCCACGGGCUAAAGCUGGAUGCAAAAUGUCGGGUUCCUGUGUUGCAUACCUAUCGUUACGGUAAAUCGUCCCUUUCGAUGUCCCUUCCAUCCUCGCAUCCUAUUGGAUGCUCGGUUGGACAAAAGAUAGAAGGGCUCGUGUUCCACGGACAUCUCAUAUGAUCGUCUUGAUGGACCUCGAGUACCUUCUUGUCCUCUCGGAUGUGGAAAGUUGCCUUACGGGCGUGGUGUCAUUGGCCCUCGGACCCGAAUAUUGGAGCGUUCAUCGCUCUAUGUUGGAAUGACGCUCUCGCCUUGUCCUUGAUCGAGUGGAGCUCUCGGGCUACCAUGAAGGAUCAAGCUCGGCGGACGUCGUGAACGAAUGC